rnacentral:pre_miRNA from 2 species
GGGUUCCUGGCAUGAUGAUUUGUGACUUAAGAUUAAAAUCACAUUGCCAGGGAUUACCAC